rnacentral:rRNA from 1 species
UACGGGGGGAGCAAGCGUUGUUCGGAUUUACUGGGCGUAAAGGGCGCGUAGGCGGUCAGUGCAAGUCAGUUGUGAAAUCUCCGAGCUUAACUCGGAACGGUCAACUGAUACUGCUCGACUAGAGUGCGGAAGGGGCAACUGGAAUUCUUGGUGUAGCGGUGAAAUGCGUAGAUAUCGAGAGGAACACCUGCGGCGAAGGCGGGUUGCUGGGCCGACACUGACGCUGAUGCGCGAAAGCCAGGGGAGCGAACGGG